AGGGUUUGAUCAUGGCUCAGGAUGAACGCUGGCGGCGUGCUUAACACAUGCAAGUCGAACGAAGCGAGAGGAGCUUGCUCCUCAAGCUUAGUGGCGGACGGGUGAGUAACGUGUGGGCAACCUGCCUUUUACAGGGGAAUAAUCACUGGAAACGGUGACUAAUACCGCAUACGAUCUUCGGAAGGCAUCUUCUGGAGAGGAAAGGAGCAAUCUGGUAAAAGAUGGGCCCGCAUCUGAUUAGCUAGUUGGUGAGAUAAUAGCCCACCAAGGCAACGAUCAGUAGCCGACCUGAGAGGGUGAUCGGCCACAUUGGGACUGAGACACGGCCCAA
rnacentral:rRNA from 1 species